GAUGAACGCUGGCGGCGUGCUUAACACAUGCAAGUCGAACGGAGUUAUCAUUUUUGAAGCAAAUAGCUUGCUAGGAGUGGAGAUAUUGAUAACUUAGUGGCGGACGGGUGAGUAACGCGUGGGUAACCUGCCGUAUACAGGGGGAUAACACUUAGAAAUAGGUGCUAAUACCGCAUAAGCGCACGGUUCCGCAUGGGACAGUGUGAAAAACCGAGGUGGUAUACGAUGGACCCGCGUCUGAUUAGCCAGUUGGCAGGGUAACGGCCUACCAAAGCGACGAUCAGUAGCCGGCCUGAGAGGGCGGACGGCCACAUUGGGACUGAGACACGGCCCAA
rnacentral:rRNA from 1 species